UACGGGGGGGGCAAGCGUUGUUCGGAAUUACUGGGCGUAAAGGGCUCGUAGGCGGCCAACUAAGUCAGACGUGAAAUCCCUCGGCUUAACCGGGGAACUGCGUCUGAUACUGGAUGGCUUGAGUUUGGGAGAGGGAUGCGGAAUUCCAGGUGUAGCGGUGAAAUGCGUAGAUAUCUGGAGGAACACCAGGGGCGAAGGCGGCUUCCUGGACCGGUCCUGACACUGAGGAGCGAAAGCGUGGGGAGCGAUCCGG
rnacentral:rRNA from 1 species